rnacentral:lncRNA from 1 species
GGCUAGUGAACGUCACUACAGUAUUCUGCAUGUUAUUCACCAGUUACUUUUCCUUUCACGUCUGUUAUGCUGAAAGAUUGUAGUCUACUUUGGAAUUCGUUCAAAGGGCACUUUUGGUAUUAACUCAGACCAUGGAAGCAAGGCUGAGAAAAAAAGCAAGGAAAGAGAACCCAAAAAUAUUUAGUUUGACGAAAAAAAUCAUGGAUUCUGAAUGGAAUGUUUACGAGGCAUCAGAGAAAUGGAAUUGGAGAGUCUUUUAAGUAAAAAUUUGUAGUGAAUUAUUUAGCGAUUUGAAAUUUUGUGAUGAUAACGUUUUAUUUUUUGAAUCACGAGACAACUUCAGAGGAUGAUGGUGAAACAAAAAAAGUGAAGCACUAGGGUG